GCCCCCGUCGCCUAACGAAUAAGGCCAUCGGACCCGCACCCGGUUGUAUGUGAGUUUAAAUCUCACCGGGGGCGCCA
rnacentral:tRNA from 1 species